UACGGGGGGGGUAAGCGUUGUUCGGAAUUACUGGGCGUAAAGGGCUCGUAGGCGGCCAACUAAGUCAUACGUGAAAUCCCUCAGCUUAACUGGGGAACUGCGUGUGAUACUGGAUGGCUUGGAUUUGGGAGAGGGAUGCGGAAUUCCAGGUGUAGCGGUGAAAUGCGUAGAUAUCUGGAGGAACACCGGUGGCGAAGGCGGCAUCCUGGACCAAUAUUGACGCUGAUGAGCGAAAGCUAGGGGAGCAAACGGG
rnacentral:rRNA from 1 species